rnacentral:rRNA from 1 species
UGUGUGGUGUCGAAUCUUCGUGUUCUGUUCGUUGGUUUAGAAGAACUCCCAAAAGACGUUGACGUUACCGCAACAGGUGGUACCGUGAGAGGAGAGGCCGGGAACGGCGGUUCGUCCGGUUCUAGCGGAGGAAGUUGCACAAGCCGCUCCCGGCGUAGUGAUACGCGUUCUGCCGCCGGUUCCGGUUCGGGCGGCGAAGGUCGUCGGGCACCAUGCCGGGACUGGCGCAGGAGAUGGAGCCGGGCGAGAGGCCACUACGCGGCAGGAUGGAGUGGCCACUUAAGGGGCCUCUGAUGCCGACCCUGUGCCGGCCCGAGAGCCGACUGGGCCUCUGCAAGCGCUUCUUGUCCCUCGAGCUCCACUAGGUGACAGCCACCCGGUACGAGCCACGAGAACCGACGCAGAAGGGCCUCGAGGAGCGAGCGUUGCCGCAGUUCAAGCCACUCCGACACACCAAGUUUCGACCAAGAGUCUAGAAGUCGCUCCCACCCAACCUGAUGGAGCCGUUGGGGUCGGAGCAGGUGCGCGUCUCGUAAGAGCGAUAGACCCGGACGGUCCAGCACGAGUACCCGCGGCAGCUCCCCAUGGCGCAACGGCCACCGGGUGAGCCACUCUAGCAGCUGGGCGAGAUGGGGCCGCCAUCGAAGCUGGGGGACCCCAACCGGCUACUGGGGCUCCGCAAACGUCUCGAGUUCCACUUCCUCUAGUUCUUGCCGGCCGAGCGGUACAAGAGGUACAAACCGAAGAAGCAGGUCCGGUAGCAGUGGCCGUUCCCCGGGGAACUCUUGGAACGGCUGGUGGAGCGGCUAGGGCAGUUGUUGUUGCGGACCCGUAAGCGGUGGUUGAAGCAGGGGCCCUUCACUUAUACUCCGCUACGGACAAGCGAUACACUUAACUCUAACGGGGUUCCAUUGCCCUCACACCUCACUCGUACCCAAGUCACUUUGUUCGCGAUGAUCCCGAACCAAAGAAAACGCGGAGAUGCUAAUAAGCAUCAGUACAUUGUAAUAAACCAACCAAAUAGUUUGUUCUUACUACUAUUUGAAUGUUUCUCUUCGUUUUUGAACGUUCUAUUGCCACAUCUUCUACUGUCUUUUUUCCUGCCUAACUAUACUCGGCUUGUAUUCAAUUUUGUGGUUAAAUAGAGUGUGAUCCACUUCGGUAAGGUCGUUUUACUUUUAUUUUCUUUCUUUUGUCGAUUAAAUUAGUUUCAUUUGGUUUUCUAUAUUGUUUUCAUUUUCUUUCAAGUCUGAGUUUAUGUGCUCUUUUCCUCUGAUUACCGACGUCUGUAACGUGCGCUAAAAGGUAAUUCUCGCUUCUUUCUUAUAAAUGUACAUCAAUGUUGAAACGAACAACGUUGAAACGUUCCACGUAGAAGAAGAUAGACCUUAUUAAAAGAUGACAGGUAACAAAUUCUUUUCUAGGGAUGAUAAGUCCGUAACAUAGUAAACCAUACAAAUCCGCAAAGAGAAACAAAAGAAGAAGAAAAGUUCGAUACAUAUAUAUUCUAGAGCCUUUUAAAUGUGCUUUCGGUUAUCAAAGUUUCAGUUAAGUCUAAGAAG